GAACGUUCCUUGUGCUUCCGGAUUCAGCCGUGUCCAGAGAGACAGAGGAGGACGCAGGAGCGGAUGGUGUCCCAGCAGGCUAAAGCAGAACAGCUGAAGAGGCUCCACAGGGCUCAGGCCAUCCAGAGACAACUGGAGGAGGUUGCAGAGAAACAGAGAGACCUGGAGGUGAGAGGGGUGACCAUCGACAAGAUCAUCAGAGGAGAAAC